rnacentral:rRNA from 1 species
GACGAACGCUGGCGGCGUGCUUAACACAUGCAAGUCGAACGGUGAAGGGACUGGUUUUGCUGGUCCUGGAUGAGUGGCGAACGGGUGAGUAACACGUGAGUAACCUGCCCCCUUCUUCUGGAUAACCGCAUGAAAGUGUGGCUAAUACGGGAUAUUCUGGGUCUGUCGCAUGGUGGGCCUGGGAAAGAUUGCGCCUUUUUUGGUGUUUUUGGUGGGGGAUGGGCUCGCGGCCUGUCAGCUUGUUGGUGGGGUGAUGGCCUACCAAGGCGGUGACGGGUAGCCGGCCUGAGAGGGUGGACGGUCACACUGGGACUGAGACACGGCCCAGACUCCUACGGGAGGCAGCAGUGGGGAAUAUUGCACAAUGGGCGCAAGCCUGAUGCAGCGACGCCGCGUGAGGGAUGGAGGCCUUCGGGUUGUGAACCUCUUUCGCCAGUGAAGCAGGCCUGCCUCUUUUUGUGGGUGGGUUGACGGUAGCUGGAUAAGAAGCGCCGGCUAACUACGUG